AUUCAAGUAACAUAACAAUUGCUCGAUAACAUGCAAACAAUCGCAUGACUUGCCGAUAUAGUUUCAUAAUGAGUGCAUAAAACAGUGUUGGGAUAGGGAACUCACUUUUUUUCAUUCCGGUUUUGAUUUCAAAGUUACCUUCCGGCGGUCGCUGCAAUGUAUGAGUUCUUCUGAGUAGAAGUAAGGUUCUGACAGAGGAAGUGUCAAAAUGAACAGACGAUAUAACAUUAGAUGACAUCUGUUUGCAAGGACGCUGCGAUUUCUCGAAUAUUCUGCGAGAUUUUGCGAGAUUUCCAAUAGGUUGAGCAUAUGAGGAAGCAAGGAGAACGACAAAAAUCAAGUUUACGUCUCUAUGAUACUUUAACAAAAUGUAAUGCUAUGACAACAUGUUUUUGAACAAUUUUAGUCGAAAACUGCACGUGAGGAAAUGUCACGUGCCGCUGACUUUUAUCUAAUCCCCAGAAAAAGAUCAAAAUUCUGCAGACGAACAUUAAAGACCACACAGAAGUUUUUAAAGAAGAGAAUAAUUUACCCUAUUGACAAAAUAAGAAUUUGUUUUUAUUGUUGUAUACUACAUUAAUGAGAGAAAAACUGGAAUAAAUUUGUGCCAAACAUUUCAGUAAUCAUUUCCAAG